rnacentral:rRNA from 1 species
AGUCAUAUGCUUGUCUCAAAGAUUAAGCCAUGCAUGUCUAAGUAAAAACUAAAUUAUGGUGAAACUGCAAAUGGCUCAUUACAACGGUUAUGAUGUACCCGGGAUUUCCGAUGGAUAUUUCCAGUAACACUAGAGCUAAUACAUGUAACUGCGUUUAUUAGUUUCAAACAAAUCUGUCGCUGAGUCAUGGUAAACAGUUGAUCGACUCGACGUCCCGGAACAGUUUCCGCCCCAUCAGCUUCGAUGGUUGGGUAUUGGCCUACCAUUGCAACAACGGGUAACGAGGAAUUAGGGUUUGAUUUCGGAGAGGGAGCCUGAGAAACGGCUACCACAUCUACGGAUGGCAGCAGGCGCGCAAAUUACCCAAUGCAGACACUGUGAGGUAGUGACGAGAAAUAAUAAAGCGGGGCUUCUGUCUUGCUAUUAUAAUGAGGAAUAACUAAAUGUCAUUCCUAUUAGCAACUGAUGGGAAAGUCUGGUGCCAGCAGCCGCGGUAAUACCAGCUUCAGUAGCAUAUAUUAAAAUUGUUGCAGUUAAAACGUCCGUAGUCUGUACGUCGUCUAAGACUUUACUACGACUCUAUAUAUUCUUCAUUGAAUGUGUAGUUGCUUGUAGUUACUCCCUUGAUCAAAAUAGAAUGUUCAAGGUAGACUAAGUCUUCAUAUCUUCACAUGGAAUUGGGUGAGGGAACUUAAGAGGUUAAGUUUCUCGUCUUAGGAUCAUCUGGGGUCAUUCGUACUCGUCCGCGAGAGGUGAAAUUCUUGGACCGGACGAAGACGAUCAGCAGCGAAAGCAUCUGUCAGGGAUGUUUUCUGCGACAAAGGACGAAGGUCAGGGUAUCGAAGACGAUUAGAUACCGUCGUAGUCCUGACUGUAAACUAUGCCGACUUGGGUCUUGCAGAGUCAAUACUUUGUGAGACCCACACAGAAAUGAAAGUGUAUGGGUUCUGGGGGUAGUAUGGACACAAGUCUGAAACUUGAAGGAAUUGACGGAAGAGCACCAUAAGACGUGGAGCUUGCGGCUUAAUUUGACUCAACGCGGGAAAACUUACCAGGUCAAGACAUGGGCGUGAUUGACAGGCUAAUGACCUUUCUCGAUUCCUUGGAUGGUGGUGCAUGGUCGCACUUAGUUGGUGCAGUGAUUUGUCAGGUUUAUUCCGGUAACGAACGAGACCUCGGCCUAGUAACUAGCUUUGCUUCUUACUGGG